rnacentral:rRNA from 1 species
CAGUAGCCACGGGAAUACGGAGGGGGCUAGCGUUGUUCGGAAUUACUGGGCGUAAAGCGCACGUAGGCGGCUUGGUAAGUUAGAGGUGAAAGCCCAGGGCUCAACCCUGGAAUUGCCUUUAAGACUGCCGAGCUAGUAGGUGAGAGAGGUAAGUGGAAUUCCGAGUGUAGAGGUGAAAUUCGUAGAUAUUCGGAAGAACACCAGUGGCGAAGGCGGCUUACUGGCUCAUUCUAGACGCUGAGGUGCGAAAGCGUGGGGAGCAAACAGGAUUAGAUACCCCCGUAGUCCCUGUCUCUUAUAC